UGCUAGCAGCUUCCGGCUACUAUGACAAAAGACAGAAGAGAAUUAACUUAGAAAAAAGGAUGCUUGGUUGAUCCUGUUGCACUGGGCUUGUGGUGACAUGGCAAAUCAUUUUAGGACCCUACAGUGGAGGAAGACUGCUCACCUCAGGACAACUGGAAAAUAAAGCAUUGACCGAAGGAUCCAGGAUCCUCAGGAAAUUAUUUAGGGACAUCAUCUUACCCAAUGUUAUUCUACUUGGUCCUUUCUUGUAAUGGUUUUACUCUCUCCCAAUUACAGUGCACCAGGUUGAUUACCAAGCCUUUGACUUACGUACUUUCAAGGAACAUCCAAGGCCCUGCAGAACUGUAUAUAUUGAAAUGAAGUUUUCUUGUUGUCAAAAAAUAUUCACCAUCGAUACUUGCAGGCGAUGUGUGCACCGAUGAACUCUAUUAAUAAUUACCAGCAAUUGCAACCCCCACUGGAUCAUGGCGAGGGAUGGAGAGGUCUUGCUUGAUGCUCAAGUGCACAGCACCCAAUGCUUAUCCACCUCAGGCGAUAAUGGUUGAGGAACAUGCUGAACCUCUGGUUCAGACAGAUCACUAUUUCCAGAUGAUUAUCCCACACAGUUCAAAUCAAGAAACACCAGAAAUGCCCAAUGGUUCCCCAUCUUAAAAUGACGCUGCAUAAAUGAAAUCCACAGCAAUCCCCAGGGGAGGGAUGCUUUUCCUCACUAUAAAGAACCUGUAUUCCUGGGAA